rnacentral:lncRNA from 1 species
CACAUCCGCUGUGCGCAGGCAAGAAAGCCCCCUUCAGUGCCCAGAGAGCCGCACGGACGAGUAUGGCAAGUGCAGAGGGAGCGGGACACCGGAGAGUGGCAGGAUCCCAACACCGCCUGGGAAGUCAGAAGUCUGGGCCUCUCUUUCUGGAGAGCUCUCUUGAGAGGCUGAUUCAGUACAGACGCUGGAGGGUGAGCACAGACAGACAGGCUACACAACACCGACCACUUCUUGCCAAACAUGUGGCCGAUAGAAGACGAGAAAGGACCAAGAAACCCCACAGAUUGAAGGAGACAAAGGACAUGUGGUAUGUAAAUGCAAUGUGGGAACCCGACUGGAUUGUGAGACACAAAAGGCGUAUCGUGGGGAGCAGUGCCCUGGCCAGUCAGGGGUGCUGUGACAAAGUGCCACCGACCUCGCCAUGCUGAGAACGCGCAGCCCGACCCUCAGCGUUCCGGAGGCUGACACAGCCAGAGUGAGGGCACCAGCACGUCCUGUGCAUGUUGCGGACACUGCUCCUCACAGCCGGAGCUUCCUUACGUGGAGGGAGGACAAGGAGGCCAUAAUGCCCCUCGGUCUCUUCCACAGGGCUCUGAUCCGCUGCAUGAAGAGCCCACUCUCAUGGCUUCAUCACGUCCUGCAGGCUGCACCUCCUAAUACCAUCGUUAGGGAGUUGGUUUCAAACGAACGCUUUUAGAGGAAUAGGUACACUCCAACCAUAGGACUGGGUGAGGUCGGUAUGUCUGCCACCUGAGAACUGUGUCACAGUUAAUUUACUUGUUUUGAUAUCAUGUUGCAUAAGAUGUUAAUAGCAGAGACUGUCAUGUGAAGUGUGUAUGGGAGCCCUUUAUAAUAUCUUUGCAAUUCUUUCUUAAAUAAAAAUUAUUUCCAAAUGAAAAAAUAACAAAGCUGUAACUGUAUAUUUCCUCAGGAAAGAUG